rnacentral:lncRNA from 1 species
AUGAUCUUGGGAAAGUAUACUCGAACAAAGAUCUUGUUCGAAAAAUCCUGCGGAGUCUCACUCUCGAAUGGCGUUCCAAAGCCAAUGCCAUCCAAGAGUCGAUAGGAAUCACGGACGUCACAAUUGAUGGACUAAGAGGUAACCUCAAAACUUAUGAAAGUACAAUUCUUUAACCUUCAUUUGGAGAUGAGAAAAGUCCAGGUAU